UAGCAUAUUAAUAACCUGUGGAUUAGAAAUUUUAAUUUAUCAAAACAAAACAAUAUUUUUAUUUUUCAGGUUAAAGAGAAUAUUUAAAAAUUGAGCAAAGUUUUACUAAUUUUUAGUGGUCUUAUGAGCAAAGUUUACUUCGUUUGUGUUAUUGUUACUCAAAACUAUAAAAGUAAACAAAAAAGAAAACUACCUUUAUCUACUUUUGUCGAUGUCCAUUCCUUAAGAAGUUUCUCAUUAAAACAACCCAUAACUCAGUGUCCACGCCCAUGGCAGAGCUAGGGUGGUUAGCGUAACUACAAGUGGUUAACUACAGUUAGCCAACUAAAGAACAAUGCCCGAUUAAUUAGUGGUCGCGCUACUUAUCUACUACAUGUCCCUGCUGCCAGUUAUAGCAAUAAUUUCUUUGUUGGGAAGUAUUUAGCACAUCCUGGCUGCGCAAAAGGAGAGGACUAAAUUGAUUACUAUGAACAGACCAUUACGAUGAACCACUGAUAUUGACACAGAGACAUGAAGAUGAGUGCUUUGACAACAAGACUGACUAGCUGAGCCAGCUUUAAGAAUUAUGUGGUGUGUGGUGUGUGUGUGUAAUCCCAGGAGCUCUCUAUGUCAGCCAUCCAUCUAUAUUCUUACUCAUUUUUGUUAAUUAUAAAAUAAAUUUGAUUAUUUUGUAUGUAACUUCAUUGUACCUAUCCUGUGAUUGACUGAAGCUGUUAGGAAGGUUGCAUCUGUAAUAAUUUAUUUACGGUAAAAAAUAAAUAUGAUUUAACAUUUAAGUAUGGCCAAUAUGUUGUAAAGUACAGUGGGCAGGGCUGAACCCAUGAUUCCUGUGUUGAGUCGACUCCUUUUUGGUGUAGCUAGUUAGGCUUCAGCAGAUUUAUAUUCUAAUUUGGUAAUACUCUUUUUUUUCUGAUUUAAGAAAAUAUACUAUUCAUCAAAACAGUGUCUGCAAGUACUGUACAGGCUGACUGUUUGGAUGAGAAGUAUAUAUUUGAUUAUUUUUCAAGCUUUGUGGUUUCAGGGUUUAAAAAAUGUCUAACUGAAAGUCUAUGUCUACUGUAUUUAUUAUUAUUAUAAUAAAUAAACUUGAAAAUUU